rnacentral:lncRNA from 10 species
CACCUGUGUUCACAUCACCUCCAUCUCUGUGCCAGCUGUCACUCCUCCACUGUCAGCAAAUGUGGACUCCAUGUUUUCCCCUGCUGCUCCAAAUCACAGCCUCCCUCACCUCCUGUGCCUGUUGCUCCUCCUCCUGCUUGGCUGCUCUUUCUACUUCCUUUCUUCCUUCUCCGAGGCUUCACCUGCACUUAGUGUGGGCAUCAUCAAGCCAACCAGGCGAGUGCUGUGAGCUGACCCAUUACAGGCAGAGGACUCCUAACAGGAUACCCAGACCUAGAUGCACCUGAAAUGCCAAGGAAGAGGAACCACUGGAUGACUGAGGAAGGCAUGAAGAAAGAUGCAUCCUUAAACUAGACCUUCAAGAUGGAAUAGAGUUUUUAAGAAAUAACACUUACACUGAAUUGCUUUAAUUAUAUAAAGGAACCAUAGAACAUUUGAAAAAAUGUAGAUAAGAAUAAAGAUGUAAAGAUUCAAGGAUUUAGUCUUUGGUAACUGUCUUUAUAAGUAAUAUUGUAAUAAACAUCCUUGUG